rnacentral:rRNA from 1 species
UACGUAGGGGGCAAGCGUUGUCCGGAUUUAUUGGGCGUAAAGAGCGUGUAGGCGGCCUGGUAGGUCGGUUGUGAAAACUCGAGGCUCAACCUCGAGACGUCGACCGAAACCACCUGGCUAGAGUCCGGAAGAGGAGAGUGGAAUCCUGGUGUAGCGGUGGAAUGCGCAGAUAUCAGGAAGAACACCCGUGGCGAAGGCGGCGCCUCGUGGGACGGUACUGACGCGAGAGCGAAAGCGUGGGGAGCAACGGAUAGAUACCGUGGUGA